GUAAUGCUUAGGAAUCUGCCUAUUAGUGGGGGACAACAUCUCGAAAGGGAUGCUAAUACCGCAUACGUCCUACGGGAGAAAGCAGGGGACCUCCGGGCCUUGCGCUAAUAGAUGAGCCUAAGUCGGAUUAGCUAGUUGGUGGGGUAAAGGCCUACCAAGGCGACGAUCUGUAGCGGGUCUGAGAGGAUGAUCCGCCACACUGGGACUGAGACACGGCCCAGACUCCUACGGGAGGCAGCAGUGGGGAAUAUUGGACAAUGGGGGGAACCCUGAUCCAGCCAUGCCGCGUGUGUGAAGAAGGCCUUUUGGUUGUAAAGCACUUUAAGCGAGGAGGAGGCUACCGAGAUUAAUACUCUUGGAUAGUGGACGUUACUCGCAGAAUAAGCACCGGCUAACUCUGUGCCAGCAGCCGCGGUAAUACAGAGGGUGCAAGCGUUAAUCGGAUUUACUGGGCGUAAAGCGCGCGUAGGUGGCCAAUUAAGUCAAAUGUGAAAUCCCCGAGCUUAACUUGGGAAUUGCAUUCGAUACUGGUUGGCUAGAGUAUGGGAGAGGAUGGUAGAAUUCCAGGUGUAGCGGUGAAAUGCGUAGAGAUCUGGAGGAAUACCGAUGGCGAAGGCAGCCAUCUGGCCUAAUACUGACACUGAGGUG
rnacentral:rRNA from 1 species